UUUACUAGUAAUACAUCAAUUUACCAGUUUUACACUAAUUUAUUUGUUUUACCUUCUAUUUACAAGUCUUUUUUUUCAUUUCCAAAAUUUAUAUUUUAUUUUACAGUUAAUGUUGAUUUACUAUUUUAUGUUAUAUUUGCAAGUUUUUGUUUUGUUUACUAAUAAUACAUCAAUUUACUAGUUUUAUAUUAAUUUACUCGUUUUAUCUUUUAUUUACAAGUCACAUAUUUAAUUUCUAAAAUUGAUGUUUUAUGUCAAAGUUACGAGUUUUAAGUUUCAUUUACAUAAUUUAUGUUUAAUUAUAGUAUUGAAGCCAAAUAGAACAAGUGUGACAAACAAAAACCAAUGAGUGAUUUGAACUUACAUGGUUCAGCUAUACGAAGAUUGACAUAACCUACAUCCACGGGAGAAGUUUUUUGGUGAUCUUUUAUUGACGAUCAAUGGAGAAUCUUUUACAAAGCAAUUACAACAGAUUACAGAAAACAAGCUAGAACUUUCUCUCUCUUCUAUCUCUCUCUUUUUUGCUAACAAUGAUGAUCACUAGCUGCUUCGUUAACCAGCCUUAUAAUUGCAUCAGUAGCAAAUCAGCAAAUCCAUAUUACACAGCUCUUGGAUACGUGCAUAAUGGUUUUACUGAAUUCAGCUAAAGUCCUCUCACAUGACCGUCACGUGCAUCAAUAUAGCGAAAACGACUUAAAACAAGUGUCAUUUUUAUGUUAACAUUUUAUAAGUUAAUCACAUCUUGUGCCUCGUAAUUUUUAACUACCAAAGACACCUCAAAAUGUUGUCGUUUUAUUCUUGCUGAGUUUGAUUCACCAAUAACCUUCAUAGUCCGGAAGAACAAGACAAACAAGUGCUUUUAAUAUAUUUAAUGAUGAUUCAAGGAAGAUUGUUGGUGAUUCUAUCAUUAGACAGGUGGCUAAGGAGAAGACUGUUGUAGGCUUAUGGGAAAAUUUGAAAGUCUUUACAUGACUAAACCUUGGCAAAUAGACUCUACAUCAAAAAAGGAUGUUUACCCCAAGAAUGGUUGAGGGCUUAUCUCCUGAACAACACAUAGCUGAAUUCAAUUAGGUAUAUUAUACCUUGGAAAUAAUUAAUGAGGGAUUAGAUGAUGAGGGUAAAGCUCUUCUUUUAGUUAGUUUCGUGCCUAAGUCAUAUGAAAACUUUGUUAAUGCUUUGAUGUAUGGAAGACAAACCUUGACUCUUGAUGAAGUUAAGGUUGCUCUUAAGUUAAGGUUUCUCUUAACACUAGGGAGUUACAAGGAAAACAAGAUAUUAUAGAGAACGGUACUAAAGGGUAGAUAUGAUAAUAAGGAUGAAAAAAAAAAGAAAUAAGGGAAACAAAAGACCAAAUCUAAGACCUAGAAGUGCUUUCAAUGUCAGAAGAAAGGCUACUUCAAGAAAGAUUGUCUUGAGAAAAAGAAUAAGCCUAAAGAUUUAAAGAAUCAAAGUGGAGAUACAAUUAUAGUGGAAGAGGAAGUAUAUGAGUCAGUAAGUGUAUGUAUAGCAACAAAUGACAACGAAAAAGGUAAAUGGAUCUUGGAUUUAAGAUGCACCUUUCAUAUGAGUCCUUUAAUUGAUUGCUUUAGAGAGUAGCGUGUCCGCAUGAAAAAAAAUGAGAGCAACCACAUCUCAAAAAGACUGCAUAGACAUGCACUCACACACAUAAUAAUAAUAAUAAUAAUAAUAAUUCUUGGGUGAGGAUAUCCUCAUUUUAACAAAGUGAGAAUGUUAUUAACAAAAAAUAAAACACAAUUUCCAAUGUAAUAAAAUUUAUAUUUUUUUUGGUAUUUUAGUGUGUAGGAUGCCCUCAAUAGAGAAUAACUAUAUAUAGAGUAAUUUUCCAAUUAGGGAUCCCUGACUUUAUUAAAGUCAGGGAUUAGCUAAAAGAUAAAAUAAACACAGACUCUAAUGCAUUGUAUUUGUCAUGUAGUAUAUUAAAAUUAAUUUUUUUUUUUAUCUUUUAGCUAAUCCUUGACUUUAUUAAAGUUAGAGAUUCCUGAUUGGAAAACUACUAUAUAUAUAUAUAUAUAUAUAUAUAUAUAUAUAUAUAUAUAAUGAGGCUAAUGUAAUUUAAUCUAAUCCAGUCUAAUAUUAAUAGUUUGUGUAAUUUAAUCAGCAUAUUAAAUGUAGCCUAAAGAAUUAAAAAAAGCAAAAGUGACUCAAUGUUGCAAACUUGUUUGGUUGAUCAACUAGCAAAAAGACUUAGAGAAAAUUGAGAACAAACAAUAGAGAACAAUAUUAGUGGAUUACGGUCUAUGGAUCAUGAUGAAAAGCAUUUCUGUGACCAUACAUGAAGCAACUUAAGGCUUAAGUAUGUUGUCACUAUUUUUUAUAUAUUGCAAAAUACCUAGAAAACCCUAAGGUAAAGUAAUGAUGGGAAACAAUGCCAUGUGCAGAGUCAUUGAUAUAGGAAAUGUAAGGCUUAUGAUGCAUGAUAAGACCAUGUUGGAGAUUAAAUAUGUCAGGCAUGUAUCUAAUUAGAAAAUAAAUUUGAUUUCCUUGGGAAUGUUUGACCAAAUAGGAUAGAGCAAGAGGCUUAAAUCAUGUAACCUAAGGGUAAUGAAUGGCUCUAAAAUUAAAAUGAAAGGUACUGGGAAGAAUAGUGCAUAUGUUCUGGAUAGUGAAGUAAUAGUUGGUGAAUCUACAAUCUCUAUUGAUAGUAAUAUUGAUAAAACCAAACUAUAGCAUCUUAGGCAAGGACAUAUGAAUGAAAGGGAUCUCAAAGAACUUGAAAGAUAGUGUGUAUUAGGUGGGGACAAGAUUGAAAGUAUAGGUUUCUGUAAAGGAUAGGGAAAUCUAAAAGAGAUAGCUUUAAUAGAUCCGUCUAAAAGUCAAAUAAUAUUCUAGACUAUAUACACCCUGACCUUUGAAGACCAGCUUAAGAUCUAUCCGUUGGUUGAAACAAAUACUUUGUGAACUUCACUAAUAACUUUUCAAGAAACGUCUAGACCUAUGUUUUGAAAAAUAAGGAUCAAGUGUUUGAAAAAUUCAAGGAAUAGAAAAGUCUGGUUGAAAAACAAGUAAGAAAGAAGGUUAAGAAGUUGAGGAUAGAUAAUAACUUAGAGUUUUCUAAUCAGCAGUUUUAGAGCUAUUGUGCAAAUUAUGGGAUAGCUAGACACAGAACAGUGAGACUGACACCUAAAAAAUAUUGGCUGGCUAGAAGGAUGAAUAAGACACUUACGGAGAGGGUAAGAUAUAUGCUCAUUCAAUUUAAGCUAUCAAAGUCACUGUGCGUAAGAGAUAUUGAUGAUAGCAACCUAUCUAGUGAAUCUAAGUGUCUCAUCAACUAUAAGCAUUCAGAUACCUUUUGAGAUGUAGGCUGGUAAGCUAGUAAGUAUAAAAAAAUUAGAGCAUAUGUUCAAGUAAAUCAAGGGAGGCAUAUGCCAAGAGCAUUAAAAGGGGUGUUAAUAGGUUAUCCGAAAGGGGUGAAAGGAUAUAAAAUAUGGUGCACUAAUCUAAAUCCUCCUAAGUAGUGCACAAUCAGCAGGGAUAUCAUCUUUAAUGAAGGUGAAAUGGCAGUCAAAAAGCAGCUUGUUGAAGUAACAAACAAUAAUAUAAAGCCUUUUGAAAUAUUAAAAUUUGAAGUGGAGCCACCUAAUCAUAGGAACAUUGAAGAAGCUGCAAAUUCUGAAGAUAGUGGUAUCAAUUCAGAUAGAACUCAGGAAUCUCAACAAAAAAUUCAAUCAGAAUUAUGUCCUUAGGAAUAAACUUAUAAACUUACGAGGGAUAGGAAGAAUAGACAUAUAAAGCCACAUAAGAGGUUUGGUAAUGCAAAUCUAAUUGCUUUUGCUUUAGUUGCUGCACAUGAUGUUAAUCACUACUAGAAUUAUGGUCAUCUGUGACCAAUAAAUUUGUCGCAGAAAAUAUCAAAUUCGCCACAAAAAAUAAUUUGCGAUAAAAAAUUAUGGUCGCAAGUUGGUCACAUUAGGUAUGUCGAGGAAAAGUAUUCACAACCACUUCAUAAGUUGGUCGCAGAAAAUAACUUUUCGCGAUGAAAAAAAUGGUCGCAAAAUAUAAUUUCACUUUGUCUCCGUUACUUUUUUGCAACCAAUUAUUUCGUCACAGAUUUAGAAUAUUUGCGACCAUACUCAAACUGGUCACAAAAAAUUUAAAUAUAAUAUUAUGUUUUAAUUAAAAUUUUAUAAAAUUUUAAUUUUUCUUUAAUAAUUAAGACAAUUAUAACCAACGUCAUGAAAGCAGAAAAAUUAAAUUAAAAUUUAUUAUUGAUAAAAAAUACACAAAAAAUUUUAGCGAAUGAAAUUACAUUAUUUAGAACAAUUACAUAAUUGUAACAUUUGGAUCAAUUACAUAAUGAUCUUCAAGUAACAUUGUAAUAUUUGGAACGACUAUAUUUAUUCAUAAAUUUCUUGAUUUUCUUCACCUCCUUGCAUCUUGAUUUUCUUCACCUCUUUGUAUAUGAUCUUCAAUAUUUAAUUUCUACAAAAAAAGCACAAAUGUUUGUUAACUUCUACACAUGAUAAUUAAAUAAAAUUAUGUAACAAUGAUAAUUAAAUAAAAUUAUGUAACAAAAAAAUAAAAAAGUUUGUAAGGAAAAUAAGCUAGGAAGAUAGAGUGAGAACAAGAGAAUGAGAAUUAUACGAGUGAGAGAAUUUAGAGAUAAAAAUGAAAGAGAGAAGAAUAAUACAAAUAUAUAUAUAACAUGCUAGCCUUUUGCGACCACGUUUAAAUUUGGUCACAAAAACUUGUUCAAAUUGAGUUUGAUUGUGUAAGGCGGUUCAAUGUCUGCCAAAAUAUUUCAUUUUUAGCAACCAAAUAAUGAUUGGUCUCAAAAAGUGUUAUAAAUAUCUUUUUAUGAUUUGGUUGGCGGUAGAUUACCUGCCAAAAUCUUUUGACUUUUUGCGACAACUCGAAAGGGGUCGCAAAAAGUAGAUAUUUUGAGACGAAAAUUUGGUUUUGUCCCAAAAACGAAGUUACAUAUUAAUUUUAUCACUUUUGUUUUUGCAACGAUAUCUUGAAGUGGUCACUGAAAGUAUAGAAUUUGCGACGAAAAUAUGUUUGGUCGCCAAAAGUGAGGUUCUGUGAUGAACUUAAUUUUGGUUACAGAAAAACAAGACAUUUAGCGAUGAAAUCGCCUAUGGUCGAAUAAAGUGACAUUCUAUAACAAAAAUUAUAUCGUCACUAAAAAUAUGGUCGCGAAAGAAAAUAAUUCUUGUAGUUAAUGAUGAAGAACCUAAGACCUUUAAAGAAGCUGUACAGAGUCCUUUUAAGAAUAAAUGACAGAAAGUUAUGGAGGAAGAAAUAAACUUUCUGUAUAAGAAUGAAACUUUGGAAUUGGUUAAGAGGUCUGCAAACAAAAGAGUGGUUGGAUGUAAAUGGUCUUCAAAGUGAAAGAAGGCUUGACUGGAUCUGAACCUAAGAGAUUCAAGGCAAGGUUAUUGGCAAAAGGGUAUGCACAAAAGGAAGGGGUUGAUUUUAAGGAAGUAUUUUCUCUUGUGGUCAAAUAUGCAUCUAUAAGGGUGAUUUUGCCCUUAACAGCAAUUCAAGACAUGGAGCUGGAUCAACUUGAUGUCAGGACUGCCUUCUUAUAUGGUAAACUUCAAGAAGAAAUACUUAUGUCCCAACCUGAAAGGUACAAAGACUUUGAAUAGAAAGAUCAUGUUUUCUUAUUAAAGAAAUCAUUAAAUUGGUUAAAACAAUUCCCAAGGCAAUGGUACCUAAGGUUCGAUGAGUUCAUGGUGCCAAAUGGGCUAAAAAAAUGUAAUUAUGACUGUUGUGUUUACUUUAAAUUAAUGAAAGGCAGUGUUUAUGUGUACUUGUUAUUAUAUGUUGACGGCAUGUUAUUAGCAAGUAAAGACAGAGAGGUUAUUGAGAAUUUAAAGUUGUUGCUCAAUCCAGAAUUUGACAUGAAGGAUCUGGGCCAAGCUAAAAAAGAUAUUGGGCAUGGAAAUUAAAAAGAACAGGAGGACUAGUUUGCUAUUUCUGUCUCAAGAUAAUUAUUUGAAGAAAAUGUUAGUUACAUAUGAAAUGAUUGACUCUAAUCUAGUUCAGACAUCUUUGGCUUCAUAUUUCAGACUUAAAAGUUCACAGUGUCCAACUGUAGAUGAAGAGAAGCAUGAAAUGGUCAGAGUUCCCUAUAAAAGUACGGUGGGGUGUUUGAUGUAUGCAAUGGUCUUAACUAGGCCGGAUAUUGCUCCCGCUGUGAAAUGAAUCAUGAGGUAUAUGGAAUCACUUGGGAAGGAGCAUUAGAGGGUUGUGAAAUGGAUUAUAAGGUAUCUUAAUGGCACUUUAAACUGUGGACGGGUAUAUGGGAGAAGUAAAGGUAGAAACGAUAGGUUGUGGGGCUAUGUAGACUCAGAUUAUGCUAGUGAUUUGGAUAGAAGAAGAUCGUUGACUAGUUAUGUUUUAUGGUCAAUGGAUUUGUUGUCAAUUGAAAAGCUAUAUUACAACAUGUAGUUGCUCUCUCAACUACUGAAGCUGAGUAUACAGCUGCACCAGAAGCUUUAAAAGAAGCUUUAUGGCUCAAAGGGCUGGUAUAUGAGUUGUGGAUAUGCAGAAGUCAGUACUUAUUUUUUGUGAUAGCUCUAGUGCUAUACAUUUGUGCAAGAAUCCAGCACAUCGUGAGAAAACUAAACAUAUAGAUAUCAAGCUACACUUUAUAAGGAAUGAAAUCUCGGAGGCUGCUCUAAAAAUGGUAAAAAUACAUACCCUACAGACAUGCUUACCAAAGUUGUUCCGGUUGCUAAGUUCAAGUUAUGCCUGCCCUGGACUAGCCGGUUUAAGUAACUUAUGAAAUUACUUGAUGUUGGAGAAGGAGCAUGAAUGAGCAGUGUUAAUUUAAGAUGGAGAAUUGUGAAGGUUACUGGUGAAUCAAACUCAGUAGAAUAAAACAGCAGUGUUUUGAGGUGGCUUUGGUAGUUAAAAAUCACGAGACACAGUACAUGAUUCACUUGUAAAUUGUUAGCAUCAAAAUGGUACUCGUUUUGAGUCGUUUGGCAUUUUACUUAAUUGAUGCACGCGGCAGUCAUGUGAUAGGAGUUUAGCUGAGUUCGGUAAAGUCGUUAUCCAUACGUCAGCGAGCUCUACAAUCUGGGUUUGACGGUGGCUAAUCUCAAUACUCUCUCUUUAAGCCAUUCAUGACUGAAUGAAAGAAUGCAAAGUACAAGAGAAGAAAAAUGAUGAAGAAGAAGAGACCGAAAUGGUGGGUUCACUUAAAUUUGAUUUAAUAAUAAUUGUGUUUGGUAAGAAUAUAUUGGGUAUAUAGGUAGGCUCAUAAAGUAAAAAUUAAAAAGUUUAAAUUUCAGUAGUGAGUUUAUUCAGUAAAUAGGUUUAAUAAUGAAUAGUUUAAUGGCUCCAAAUAAUCUCACCUCACUUAAUUUUUUUUUUAAUAACACCUCCAUUUUAUAUUUUUUUUAUCUGUAAUUACAGUUUUAUCCUUAAUUUUUGUUUGAAUUUUUCAGCAGUUGGUUCAUAAAAAGCAGUGUCCACCAAUGGCAUUUAUUUCAUACAUGAAAUCAAUUAUCUCAUUUAUAGUUAUAAGAAAAUUGAAAUCUACGGAUUACAUUUACUCUUGCCAAUACUGUCUUCCAGUACGUGAUGGCCCAUAAAAAGCACACUCUUACUCCUUAAUUUAACAUCGUCCACUUUGCUGCAGAUUUCUGUUUUUUUGAGAUCUUCCUCUUUGGAGUUCUCGAAUCCUCCUUCAUUAAUGAAAUUCGAGCAUUUCAUCGUCUUGGCGACCAACUAAAUCUUCUUCUCCACAUAUUAUUAGGAACAGAGUAACUAAAUUAAUCAAUUUUGUUUUUCUUUGUAACUUAGUUUGAUCCAAAUUAAUCCAAUUUUUAAAGCUGAAUUUGGUUCCGUGGGAAGUAUCCUUUCGUUAAUGCUUCUUUUCCAACAUGAAAAACGCAAUGGGUGCAGGAAGAUACAAACAAUGAAGAAAAUUGUUAUUCUGGGUGUAAGACUACUAUCUAAGAUUCAAAUAAAACAUAAUAAAUACAAAAUUAAGGUAAAAUUAAUACUAUAAAUCUGAUCAUAUUUCCCAAAAUAAGCAAUAUCUUCCUAAAUUAAUAAUUGAUUAAUUUAUUGAGGUUUGAUAAUAUUUUAUUAAUCGCAAUGUCACAAAUACGAAACUUGGUAACGUAAAAUAAUAUGAUAUUGACUUUGGAGUACAACACCUAAUACGAGAGAAUCACGUGAAGCGAUAUUGAAAGAGAUUUUAUUUGACUAUUUGCUUAAUAAUUAAUAUAAAAGGAUAUUAAACCUGAAUGAAUGAAUUACGUAGCAUCUUAAUUUAUGAUUGUAAUCUUGUUGAUUUUGAUUCUGAUCUUGAAUGAUGAUAUGUGCUAGCUGUCCGUGAUCUUCAGACAUGGACAAUUAAUCUGUUUUAUACAAAUAUAAUAGUCAUGGGCGAUAUAAAUUAAAGGAAAUGUAUAUGUCGAGUCAUUUUAACUAUGUGUUAUCUUCAAUUAACCUUUAAUUUAUUUCAAAUUAUUGUAUCAAUGAAAUGCGGGGAGGUUGUCAAUUUCUCCCCAAUUGAAAUUAAUAUAUAUUAUUUACUCGCAACAUAAUUUUUCAGUAUUACUCUCAUUUUCAAAUACAUUUUUAUUUAUAUUUGUCAUAAAUUAAAUAACUCAUAUAAAUAGAAAUAAAAAUAAAAAUUUUAAGUAUUAAAAAUAAGAAACAUAUAUGAUACGAUAUUUUUCUUGUAUUAUUUUAUGUAAAAAAAUCUUAUAACAAGUAUAUAUUUUACAAUAAAUAUCUAAAACAACAAAAAGUAUAAGAAAAAUAUCUUAAUAUUAAUUUUUUUAUUUACUUCAAAACAUAUAUUUCUUAUUUUUAAUACUCAAAUUUUUUUAUUUAAUUUAUAUUGACAAUAUUUAUUUAAUUUAUAACAAGUAUAAAUAGAAGUUAAUUUGUAAAUAAGGGUAAUAUAAUAAGAUUAUGUUGCCAUGGGGAUUAUUGACUAUGAAACAGUAGUUGCGUAAGUGGUAUAUAUUUAUUUUAGUAAGGGCAAAAAUUGGCAAUCUCCCUUUUAUUUAAUUAAACAUAACAUAAAAAGAGUAACAUUGUAAUUAACCUGUAUGGUCAGGAUUUCUCUUAUAUUGAGGGAUAAUAAGAAUAUCAAGAUUGUCAUUAGUAAAUGUCAUCAUCAACAGUACUAAGACGAGGAAAUAUUAGGAAGAUCCUCUUCCACCAAUCAUUAUACGUGAAAAAUUCAUAUUAGAAAACUUAAUCAUAAAUACACAUUAAAAUAAGGAUUAAAUAAUAAAGUUCAACUAAAGUUGAUCCUCUCCUUACCUGAACUACUCCUAAGUAGAAAUUGAUGCGCAGAAUUUGAUGAUUAAUAAAUAAAUAAAAAAGAAGUUAAAUCAUAUACAUCCACUAUUAUUAAAUGACAUAUAAUAUAAGAUUAUUAAAGCUCAAGAGAGCUCAGAUAAGGAGAAAAUCCUAAUCUUUCCAUAAUCUUCAAAUCAGAAAAGAUGUCGGCUUCCGGAAUCAAAAUUUCUCAGUAAUUAAAGUUGCUUUUUCGACUUCCUACUUCUGGUUUGAUUAAUAUACAUGUAAUGUAUAUGUAAAGAAUUAAGUAGCCGAGAGUGCGAAGGUGGGUGAUUGGGAAGUAAGUAAUUACAAGAUAAUAUAAUAGCAAUAAUAGACUCUUUUCUUUCACAAUACUAUUAUUUUAAUUUGGAAAAUUUUUUUUUCUGAAACAUUUUUCAGUGCCUAAAAUAUUUUGUAAAUUAAAAGAAAAUUGAAGAUAUAUAAUCGUGACUCAAUAAAUAUAUUUCUUUAAUUUUCGGGCAUUGACAGUUGAAAAUUGAGGUUUUUAUUCUUAAAUUGAAGUUAUUUAUUGUUUCAAUCCAUUAAUUAAUAGAUGCUCUACGUAAUUAUUUACAAAUAAUGGUAAGAUGAUGGGAUCAUAUAUAUAACGAAAGGUUUUUAAUUCCACAUUCAGAGACAAAAUUUUAUAACUUCGCAUUAUUUAACAAAAUAAUUAACAAAUUAAUAGUGAUUAUGGCUAAAGAUUAUGUUGAUUAGCCCAGGCGUACUAAACGGCAUGACUAUUUUAAAGGUUGAAAUUACAAAUUUACAUGCAUUGUGUAUUUUAAUAAAUUAUGAUCCAAGAUCACUUGCUAGCUCCCAGAAUGAGUUAACCAUUGUUUCGAGUUUGUUUUAGUAAAAGAUAAUCCAGAAGAGAAAGCUUAAUUAAGCUAACAAGGAUAGACAAACUUAAUUAAUGUUAACACGUAGACAAGCAACAAUAUUUAUUUAUUUAUUUCCUUUUUCAGGAAUACAUGAUACACGUAAAUAAACAAAUAAAAUCUCUCAUAUAUCUCGAGAGAUUUUAUCAAUUGAAUUGAACCAAACCGACAGUCACAUAAUUGACAGAACGAUAGGUAAAAGUACCCAUCACUUUAUUCAAUUAAACAUAACACAAAAGAGUAACAAUGUAAUUAGCCAGUGUAGUUAGGGUUUCUCCCAUGUUGAGGGAUAACAAGAAGAUCAAGAUUGUCAUUCACAUUGUCAUCAUCAAUAGUACUGAGAAGAGGAAAUAGUAGUAGGAUGAUAAUCUCCGACCAAUUGUUAUUACCUAAAAAUUUCAUAACAGAAAAAUUAAUCAUAAAUAUAGUAAAAUAAGAAUUAUAAAUGAUAUUCAACUGAAAUUAGCCUAAAAACCUGCGCAGGUAGUUUCCAUAAUCUUCAACUGAAAAGAUAUUCACUUCGGAAUCAAAAUUACAACGUAAUGAAGUUGCUUUUGCGAGUUCUUGAUUCUGGUUUGAUAUGAUACGCAUGGGGGGUAUAUAUAGAGAAUGAAGUAAACGAGAGUGCCAAGGUGGGUGGUUGGGGCGUAGGUAAUUCCAAGACAAACUAUUAGCAAUAACAGUCUUUUUUUUUAAAAAAAAGUUAUUAAUUUAAUUUUGAAAAUGUGGCCAGAACUGCAAAAAUGUGGCUGUUUUCAGAAACAAUUUUCAAUGGCUCACAUGAUGGCUACAGUAAUUUGUUUGUAUUUGCUUUGACACGACAAAUAUAUUCCUUUAAUUUGCGGGCAAUAACAGUUUUAGGUGAUUCUAGUAUUAGGUGCUGUAAUAUAUACAUAUGUGUAUAUGUGUGUAUAUAUAUAUAUGUGUGUACAUAUAUCAAAGAUAAGUGAAAUUGUUACCAUAUUAGAGUAAGGGAUAAGGUAAAAAAUUAAAAAGCACAAAUUUCAAUACAAUAGAGUGCAUUUUGUCCUACAGUAUAUUAAAAUUUGUAUAUUUUUUCUUUUACUUUAUUCCUUACUUUUAACAUGGUAAGGUUUUUUUUCAUUUUAAAAUUGCUCUAUAUAGGAAAACUCUCAAGUGCAGAUGCCCGCACAAAUUUUCUUACAGAUUUGGUACUUUAUAAUGAUGUAAAAGUUGUUUUUAUAAAGCUGUGAAAGUUCAAAUGAGAGAGAGAGAGGCCAGACACCAGCACAACAAUUCAUGUAGGUUUGAGACUUCAUAAUGGUUCAAAAGGCCUUCACGCCAUUGUUAGAUCCUGAAUCUGCAUGACGCCCACAAGCAAAAAGGAUUCUGGAUUUAGUAUUGAUCUAGCCCAAAAUCUUGGACUUUGUUAAAGUUCAAAAAAUAUAUUUGGAAAUAAAAUUUAAUAAUAUAAUCAUUAUACUAUUAAAUCAUAUGUCUUAAUAGUUUUAUCCAACUUUAACAAAAUUCAGGAUCUUAAAUUAGAAUAUUUCUAAUAUACAUACAUACAUACAUACAUACAUACAACACACACACACACACAGAUUUUAAAGUGUGGGAAAAAUCGGGAAAACUUUAAAAUCGUGAUGUUUAAUAGUAUUAUGAAAUUAAACUUUGAAAUCGUAAAAUAUUAAUUUUAAAACUUUCUUGUACUUUAAAAUCGUGGAUUGGAAAAUUUCCCUAUAUAUAUAUUCUCCUUUAUUUUCUAUGCAAUAACAGUUUAUCGGCAAUAAUUGUAAUGUUUAUAAUAAAUAUAUAAAUUCAAGUGGCUGACAGUCCAUACCUACUCAUGGAACCUUCCAUGGAUUGGGCUUAUUAAUUUGGGUUUUGAAAAUUUUUAUCUUAGAUCAAGUUUAUGAUUCAACAUCCUUAAAUUACACUUACUUUUACACUAUUUUCUGACCUCUAGAUAUAUAAUUAAUCAAUGGAUAGGAUUAGAUCUAAUUAAUUAUGUUGACUAUAUUUAUAAAUAAUUAAUAAUAUUGAUUUUUGGGCUUAGAUUUUUUUCUCUCCAAUUUACUCGCUCCUUAAUUCAUUUUCUUUAAUCUCUCUUGUCAUCUUCUUCACGGUUUAACAGUAUAACAAAAGCUUGUUGCAGAGAAAAAUAGAAAAAUUAUGAAUUGCUUCAAAAAUGUAUAGUCUUUUAUGCCUUUUUUUGUUUGAAGAAAAAAUAUUCGUUUUCAAUCACUAUUAUUGUAAAAUUGAACACAGUCAAACCUUAGAAGGCAAAAGCGGCAUUUCGUAUGCGAGCUUGUAAAAAGUAAAAUCAGAAAUAUUAUGCUUAAGCAGCCAUUAUUGAUCUAUAAUUUUAGUUGUCUAUGGAAUUGUGGAUCAAUUAAUAUUGGCUUGAAUAAAAAUCAAUGAAUUUUGUUGAAAGAAUUUUUUCCCAUAAGCACACUUGAAGAUCAAUCAUCGCAUAUGUGUUUUAGAAAAUCAAAAAGUUCUUCAACUUCAAGUCAGCUGAUUUUAUUGAAAUUUUAUUACAAAUGCAUGAAAAUAUUGUCAGCAGGUUGGAAGUGAAACAAUUAAUGAGAAGAUGAAACAAAACACAAACUAAGAUAUAAGCAAAAAAUAAUAAUAAUAAUAAAAACUAUGGAGGGAAAGUAAAUAAGUAGGAGAGAGAAAUGUUAAUUAGAAUUACUAAUUAUAUACCGUUAAUAAAUUAUUAUUAAAUAUCUAUGUUACUAAAUCAACCUAAUCCAAGUCACCCAUUAGUUACAAAUUUAAGGACUAAUAAAUGAUGUAAAAAUAAAUGUAAUGUUAAGGGGCCAUUGAUCCUUCCUCAAAUAUAAAAUAAGUGAAUCUGUUACCAUAUCAAAGUAAAGUACAAGUUAAAAGACAAAAAACUAUAUAUUUCAAUAUAAUACCAUGUAUUUUGUCCCUUAGUGUAAUGAAAUCUGUAUUUUUUUUUAUCUUUUACAUUGUCCUAUAUUUGUGAUUAUAGGAAGUAGGCUAGCAUCAAUUGCUCCCGAAUGUGCAUCUUGUGAGUGUGGUGGUUUGGGGUUGAGGAAUUUAUUUAGUCUUAAUUGUGUAGCUUCGCUCACUACUGCCUGGAGUAGUUUCACAACUCACUAAAUCUGAAGCUGAUUUGUUAGAGGUCGCUUGAAGUUGUCUCUUCACUCUUGGAUUCAGACACAUUGUACGUCUUCUAUUGGGAUCGGUUUGAAGAUUGUGAUGCCUCAUUUGAUUGUGGGUUGCCAUUGGUAGAUUGGGAACGGCUUGUCAGUUAAUCUGUGGACAGAUGUGUGGUUUACACAGUCUAUAUCACAAUUUAUCGGCAUUGAUAAUUUAAAUUUGUGUGUGCCAGUGAGCUCUUUAAUUUGGAAUGGCAAAUGAUAGAUCCCUUCUAUGUUUCGUGAGAUGUUCCUCAACUUAUUCAUGAAAUUGUGACCACUCUGUGAGUGCUGAGCUCUAUUUAGAAGAUGCUGCGGCUUAUUUUGAGGAUUUUAAUCAAGUUCAGCCUUGGGGCUCUUUAAUUUGGGUGAUUUAUUCCUUCUCAGUUUUGUUGUGGCCUUUGUUAUAUAAUCGUUUGAAUACACAAGACAAUCUUUGGCGCCGUGGUUUUUUUAUUGUUUCUUGCUGCCCCCUUUGUAAGAAUGUCGCAGAGAUAGCUUCUCAUUUGUUCCUCGGUUGUCCUUAUGCUCAGCAUCUUUGGCGUUGGCUUUUUGUCGCUUUCAGGUGGUGGUUCCCUAUUAUGGUGAUAUUCAGCAGCUUCGAGAUUUGAUCAAAUUUCCUUCCAUUUCUAUUUUUGAUGCUGCUCUUUGGCGUGCUGCCACCUUUACUAUGAUUUAUUAUGUUUGGAUGUCUCGCAAUAAGCUGCUAUUUGAUAAUGAGUCUUGGCCUGUGUAGCGGGAACAAACUUUGGUGAUUCUCAUUUGCAUGUUAUGAAGAAAUUUAUCCCUGGCACAUGUUGAUGUUCUUUACCUAUUCAUGCUCUUUUGCGUAUGCAUGCUUCAAUUUCUCGUCCCCCUAUUAUUGCCACUGUUUUUCAGAAUUCUACUACACCAUUGUGGAUUAAAAUAAAUACUGAUGGUAUGUCAAAGGGAAAUCCAGGCUCUGCGUCUUGUGGAGCUGUUUCCGCGGCUUCAAUGGGGCUUUUCAUGGUGGUUUCUCUAUGCCUUCGAGGGUUCAGACUUCUUUCUUUCCUUUUCUUUUUGUGCUAAAAUUUUAGCUAUUGUGAAAGCACUAGAGAUUGCUGUUGUGAAGGUGUGGACUCAUGUAUAGAAUUUGAAAGUGAUUCUAGUGCUGCUCUUGCUUGCCUUUCGAAAAAAGGGUUUAAGCCGCCUUGGGGACUGCGAAUCCAAUGGCUCAACUGUAUGAAUGUGAUUUGUGGUAUUCACUGUUAUUCUUCUCUUGUCUGUCAUGGAGGUAAUUCAGUAGCAGAUAGUUUAGCUUCCUUGAGACGAUCCGCCAAUCUCUGUUAAAAGUUGUCUUUCUAAAGAUGCUUUGGGGUUGCCUAAAUAUAGGUUUCGGUAGUCUUGCCUAAAUAUAGAUUUUUCAUCGAGCAAUAAAAUUUCUAGAGCCAUUUACAUAAAAAAAAAAAAAAAAGAGGAACCGACAGUGUGAAGUAUGUGGGAAGUCGACGACAGAUCAACGGCUGAUGUUUAAUUUAGAUUAGUGGAAACAUAUUGACGCCUAUGGUUCAAUUGUGAGAAUAACGGGGGAGCUUUGAUUCAUUCAGAUUUGAUAUCUGGUGUGUAAAUUCUAAUGCUAUGGGUGUUAAAGUAUAAGUGUACACAACAAGUAAUAUAAUAAUGAAUAUUCAAGAUCGUCUCUCUAGAUAUUGAUGUUAUCGGAUUUGCUACAGCAAUUCAGAUAAGCAGUUUAGAUUAAAUUAAAAUAAAAUAAUUAAAGAAACUAAUAAGCUAACUAAAUUAAAAAUGAAAUAAAGGGAAUCUUAAAUCAAACACGAAGAUGCAAUCAAUAAUAAAGGAGUAGUUGAGUGAUUAAACUCACUGAAUUGUUUUGAUUAUUUUUCUAAUUAAGAACCUGCUACUACAACAUUUACUACAACACUGAGCAGAAUCCCUCAUGCAUCCUCAGCUGUCGUUUGUUGGAUAUCUUAUAUGCAAUUGAAAUUCCCAUUGGAAGGAGGAAUUGACAUUUAUCGCUUCCUAUUAGAUAUAGCAUUAUGCAUUCUAGAUUCCAAUUACCCUGCAAGGUGAACCUCUAUGUCUAGUUCUUCACUAAUCUUAGAUCAAGUAUGGCUCUAAUCAAAUCGAGAUUAACUCAACUUGGGAAACCCAACCUAAAACCAAAUAUUGUCUUAAUUUGUUCCACUAAGUCAAGCCUUUUUAAGGCUCCUUCUAAGCUAGUAUCCACUGAAUAGGUGAUCAACUGAAAUAGGAAAUUAAAAUUAAUACAAUUAAGAUAAAUUGCUGCAACAAACACAGAGUAACACGCAUAUGUCAGUCAAACAUCCAUUCAGAUCAUUUAUCACUCAACCACAACAAAGUUCAGUUCAUGAUUUGCGAAAAAAAAAUAAAUAAAAGAGUUUUAGCCAUCAAAUACAUUCCCAUGAAUAAAUUAAAAAAAAAAAGAAGAAAAGAACAAGAAGGACGGAUUUUCAAUGGAUCUCUGCUUUUUCUCCUCUAGUGCAGCCUUCGAUCUCUCUCUUGAAUUCUAUUUUUCUUUUGUUUCUUUGUAGUUUUUCUCCUUGGAUGACGACUCUCCUCUUUUCUUUGCGUGUAUGCUCCUUUUAUAGCUUAGAAUUAGGACAACUAGAUGUCUAGGGUGCGUAUUUUCCAUUUUAGGAAACUCUAGAUUACAAUCUUCUAAGUAUCUCGUACAAAAUCUUCUCUGUUAAUGCUCCAGAAUUGCUACAGCAACAAAGCUAUAGCAACAAUGCUAUAGUAAUGGCUUCAGCACCUACACUAUUUUAGACUUGUUUUAAUUCUUCUAUAACCAUGUUUUUUCCUUAUCUUUGCAAGCCUAUUGCAACAACAUUCCUCUCUUGAAAUUUGAGCUUCCGGUUACCUAUAAUUAUGCAUACGAUCUAAGCAUACAAAUUAUUCUAAAACAACAUAAUUUAUUAAAAAUAAACUAAAAUGGAUAUUCAUGCAAAAUAUAACUAAAAUGCACUAAAAACAUGUCAUUUACUCUUUAAGUAAUCUUGAUUUAAAUCUAAAAGUACCAUGAUAACUCUCAUUUCAUAGUGUUAUCGAUAUCCUUUCUAUUAAUUAUCAAAGAAAUACAAUAUCUUUUAAUCACUUCAAGUGAUUCUAGUAUUUAUGUAAUCAAAUUUCGUAUUUAUGACAUUGCCGGUGAUAUUAUUCCCACUUAAUUAAUAAUAACACUAUUCUUUUUUUUUAAGUCAAUGGUAACUGUUAGAAAAGGAAAAUAAUAAUAGUGUUUCAAUUUCCAAAUAAUAUUUUAAUUUUGUACUUCUCAAAAAAGGAAAUCUUAUUUUUAAUUAGAUGAAUGAAUAAAUCACGAAUUCGUAUUAACAGGAUAUGAUCCAUGCUAUUGUUAACUGAACAAAUAAUGGUCAAAAAUAUAUUAACAGUUGUGAAAUGUCGAAUUUUACUUUAUUUCAUUCUGAUGUCACGGGAAAGUAUAUAUACACAAACACACACUCUCUUAGGUGCAGAUGUCCUCAAACUUUCACACGAAUUUAAAAUUUUCCAAUAAUGUGAAAACUCUAUAUACAUAUAUACGUGUAUAUAUAUAUCCAACAAAUAAAUGCCACCUGUCAUACUAUUUACAAAGUGUUCUUCUUGAAAAAAGCCGGUGCCUAUUGGCUUUGUAAAUAGGAUUAAAAGCUUGAACAAGAGCAAUGCUACUAGUCAUGGGAAAAAGGCCCCAAAAAAAUAAUUCAGCAGGUGGCACAAAACCUUUAAAAGCUCUGGUGAGUUAAAAUCAAGAGAAGACCCUUCUCUGACUCCAAACUCUUUAUUAGAGCCAUUACUAAUGAAUUCAAGAUUGUAAUGUCAAAUCUCAGAAAAGGCGUUUAAGGGCUACAGAAAGGCGUCCUCAAUGAAUUCUUAGUUUGGAUAAUUCGGGGAGUGGCUAAUCUGAUUUCAAAAGAAGAAUUAGCCAAUGUUUGCUUUAUUCAUAAUUCUUCAUUUGAUGGUAUUUCGGAACCGAGGGUGGAUUUUGAUUCCAUCCCAAGUGGUGUCGGCAUCGUAUUCAUCUUUCUUCACUAGCGGUCACUGGUAAUCCUACUCCAAAAGUUUGGGCUUUAAUGGAUGAAUCUAUUGCUAAUGAUAGUGUUCUCUCCUGUACUGCUCAACCGGUGACAGAAAAGGUUCAGCUUGAGAAUUGUUGGUGCUGCUUGUCAUUUGUUUAUUCAAGUAUUCUCUUCAUAAAUAGACGCAUCUUACUAGCUGAGCUUCGGGAGAUUCAUGCUAACAAGUCAAUGUGAUUAGCUUAGGCUCUAAUCAAAGGGUGAUUAGAUCUUGCUCUAAUCCAAACAACUCAAUGAGAAGAAUUUUGCUCUAAUCCAAACAAUUCAAUGAGAUUUUUAAUAACGCGUUUAGGCGAGAUUAGAGUGGGAGUUAUAAAAGAGGAGUUUCAUUGGAUAAUUGAAGUUGGGGUUAUUAAAACAAUAAGAGACCUCUCUAUUGUUGCUUCUUAGCUCUUUGUUGAAAGCCCUUUGUAACCAAAAAAAAAAAGAGACUUCUCUAUUUAUAAUACAAGAAACUUACUCCCCUGGAUUAACUUAAAAGGAAAAUUAAAUCACCCUACUAAAGAAAUGAUCUUUACUGACAUUAGAAUAGUGUCAGUAAUUACUUUUAGUGACACUUGCUAAUAAUGUCAGUAAUCUGACAGUCAGAAAAAUAAUGACACUUAUUUUUUGUGUCACAAGUAUAGUAUCAGUGAUUACUAUUAUUAUAGUAUCACCAAAAUCGUGACAUCAUAGUAUCAGAAUAUUACAAUAUUAUAUUAGUGUUUGUUAUUAUUGUUACUAUGGAAUCAAUAUUUUAUUUAUUAUUUAAAAAAUAAAAAUAUAAAAUGGCAUGUUGCCCAUUGAUUUGUUGAUAAAAUUAAAAGGCAAUGAGAAAUAACAACAAAAAUCAAUUUAUAUUGCAAAACCUUUCAUAACAUUUAAAUAUUAUCAAUAUAUAUUACACUAUCUAAAUACUUCAAUACACAAGACGUCUUAUUACAAGACAUCUUAUUCUUUACUCCAUGAACAUAAGUACUGCGAUCAUGCAUUAUUACGGACAGCUUCUUCAUUCGAUGAAUUUGAUGGGUCAGGGAUAUAAGUUGUAGAAGAAACACUUUAAACAUAUUAAUCAUAUCUGCAAAAAAAUAAAAGAAAAAGGAAAAGAAAUUGGUUGCCAAAUUUCAACAGUUGCAAAAUAAAUUAACAAGCAAUACAGAGACAAAAGUUAAUAGAAAUAAACAUAUUUUGCUCGAAAGUAAAAAUAUUCAUAAGCUAUGAACAGAUAAACUCAAUUAUCUUAAGGAAAUUAGAGAACAAGAAUGUUGUAGCUCAUUUGAUUAGAAAUAAGGUAGAAUAUAUUUAACUAUAGAUAUAAAUUAAAAAAAAAGGUGAUAAUGAAUUCAUUCUCUUAUAUAUAUGAAUAAGAGAGAGUGAGAGAGCAAAUUAUAGCAUUCAAGUUUUUAGUAUAACAGCUAGUUUCAAGAAAGUGUGUUUAUUUCUCAUUAUAUAAAAAACAAUGAUUUUCCAGCUAAAAAAAAUUCAUAAUAAAAUUUAAUAUCUAAUACAACAUAGUAUAUUUUCUCAAAAAAAGGCUUGCAAUUAUGUCUUUUAGCCACCAAGCCUAAGUGUGAGAGUAAAGCAUUUAACUCUUGAUAAUUACACACUUUCUGCAUAAUGCAAUUAGUUUCAACUCAUUCCAAAUUACUCUACUAGAAUAAUAAAACAUUUCAGCCAUUAUAUUGAUGGAGCUACUAAUCCAAAAUAUUCACAAUAAAUACAGAGUUCAAGGCAAUUAAGAGAUAUGCCUCUUAAAGCUUUGCAUAUUCUCUCUCUUUCUAAGGCAAUCUCUAAUUCAUAUAGUUCCACCCCCUUUGAAUUCACAAACCUAGACUUUACAAACAAAGGCCUUAUAUCAUUAAUCUUAAUACCUUUUUACCAAAAAUAUCACUAUAUUCAUAAAUAAAAAUCACAAGUUAACACUUUAACCUCAUGUUGGGUUGUCUUACUCUGCACAUGGCAGAGGAAUCUACGAUAAUGUGUAUAUUUUCAUGAGAAGAAAAAGGAACAAAAAAUAGGGAAAGGAAGUCAAGACUAAGAAGUAAUUAUUCAAUAAGCUGAAAAACUAUCAUAUAUCAUGCAUGUUUUAUUGAAACUGAUGAUCAUAUAUACACUCACUCACUCACACACACACACACCACUACACAUGUGUCCAUAAAAACAACUCAUAAAGUUAGAAAAGAACAUACAAUGCAAGCCACGACCACUGCAAUGGUAAAAGAUGAACUUCCUAACCCCUCUUAAAGACCAAUAGUUAUUGUUAGAGGCGACACAGUAGCAAAAUGUGACCAAGGCAUUCCACCCGAAUUAAGCAUCCUUUUAGAAUCCCAUCUCUUUUCUUUAUACCUAAGCAUCUAGCAAAAACAUACAGAAUAAACGUACAAAAUAAUUGAGAUAUUAUUAUUUCAAAAGAACAACUCCUUAAUUACAUUAGCAUACACUAAAUUUCUAUUCAACUAACAUUUAUUAUAUCAUACAUCCAUAAUUCUUUGAAUUAGAGAUUAAUCACAAUGAAAAAGAGGGCAUUUUGCAGUUCCAACCCCCAAUGAAAAGGUCAAUCUAUUUUUUAUUAAAAAAAAUUGAUUUGUUAUGCAGACAAAAUAUCAAAUCAACAAAAUUUGCAAUAUGUAACCAAUCAAAUAAAGAGAAAUGCUGGAAAAAAUUACAAUGAAAAUGGAGACAAUUAAAUGGACAAGAUGAAGAUCUAGAGGAACUAAGCAAAAGUAAAGGCGAGAAAAGUAGAGAUUAGAGGCAGGUUUUUAGGGAAGAACAGCCACGACAAUGAUAGAGUAGAAUCCAAGAACGACUUUGUUUGACCACUCCUCAACAACGUUGCAUCUCCGACUGUAGUCACCUCAUCCAUUAUUUUAAAUUUUUUAAAAUUUUCCUCUCUCUUAUUAGAUGAGACAAUCCCCAACAGUUCGCAAUUUACAGUUCCCAAAGCCACAGCCACAACCACAAUCACAGCCCUCCCUCUCCUCUUUCUCUCUCCAACCAGGAGUGAACAAUGCAAUGAAUUUCCAAUAGGAAAGAGAUUAGAAAGAAAGAAGAAGGAUUUGCCAAGUUGGUGAAUUUAAAUGAUCUAACCAUAAUCCUUUUAAUUUGGUAGAUUUAUGGCAGUCAAAGAUUGAAUUAAUGAAAUAAGAUGAAAGUUUACCUUCCAAGAAAUUUAGAGACCGAAGUAAGAUCAGCAGUGCACACUCGAGCACGGUGAUCAUCAGACUAAAAGGUGGAGAUCUAAAGAGAGUUUUUAGAGCUUUUGGCGUAGCAACAUGGUGGAUAUUCUGUAACACGAUGUAGCUCAUUAGGGUUUUGUAUAGUAUGGGUCUUAGAAUUUGAGCAAUGGUGUUAGGGUUUCAUAUGGCAUCUUGAAUUUGAGAGUCGAAGGAGAGAUUUUCUAGAGGUAUGAAGAAGAAAGAGAUGGUUAGGAGAUGAGGAAGCUGACCCUAGAAUUACAAGUUAGAGAUUUUAGCUUUAUGUUGAUGUUAGGGUUUCUUUUUGCUUUUAUAUUGUUGUUUUUAUAUAUUAAUUUAAUAUAAUAUUUUAAUCAAAUAAUAAAAAAUUUGAUUUGGCUUGAUGGUUUGUUGCUUGAACAUUAAAAGCCAUGGUUUUGAUGUCCUGGGUUCGAGUAUAGGGAUGACAAAAUAACCCGGACCUGGAUGAACCCGGAUAAUCCGGGCCGGGUUAAACCCGUACCGGAGUGCAAAAAAUCUGGAUCCAGAAUGGAUUUUAAUAACCAGGAUGGAUCCAAGUCCGAAUCUGAAUUUAGGGUAACCCGUAUAUCCGGAACCCGAGUAUAGGGAUGACAAAAUAACCCGGACCUGGAUGAACCCGGAUAAUCCGGGCCGGGUUAAACCCGUACCGGAGUGCAAAAAAUCUGGAUCCAGAAUGGAUUUUAAUAACCAGGAUGGAUCCAAGUCCGAAUCUGAAUUUAGGGUAACCCGUAUAUCCGGAACCCGCACUCGGAUAUCUAUUUUUUUAUAUAUUAUUUUUAAUUAUAUUUAUUAGUUAAUAUAAAUACAAAUAUAAAAAAAAAACCCCUAAUUCUAUUUCUAUCUUUCUACCAGUUUCACUAUGCUAGGAAGUUUAAUGAAAGUGAAGGAGGGUAUGAAGACGAACAGAAAAAAACAGCUCUCUAGCAACUUGCGGUAACGAUUGAAGAAAAGGAAAACAAAACAAUGAUUGAAGAGUUAACGUCCGUUUGUUAAUUAAUUUGUUAAUUUUAGAAUUUUAGAUCGCCCGAAAUGAUAAGUUUUUAUGUUUAUGAAUUGAUCUAAUUCUAUCCAUAAAAUUAUUUAAUUUCCAUUUAUCGAAAUCUCCUAUAAAUCUUGGGAAAGAUUAGAUGAGUAAUUUCUGGCAGUCUUUGUGCUUGUUUCUCUAACCAGGUUCCCGGCAAUGCUUAAGAAAAUGUACCAAAAUCACAAUCAUCAAAUCAUGUGAUUCCAUCCCUAGAGGCGACUAAAUUUAUCUCAUGUCUCUUCAUUUGGUUUCGUUGUGCCCUAUUGUCAAUGGAGAAACUGAAGCAAUCUUUUUGAUUAAUCAUACUAAUAUCCCAAGUGUGGACGAACAUAGUCCUUAAACAGAUACCUAAUCAUUUGAUUUGAAAAGUUCUCUGUAAGAAAUUGCUGGAAUUUUUCUAUGGGUUCUCAUAAAAUGCAUUUAUAUUUUGGCGGGCUUUAAAAGUGUGCAACAUUUAUUUUAGGCGCCUAAGAUGUGUCAUACUCCGUAUGUUGAUUGUGAUCAAAAUCAUUAGAUGUAUUUUCCUUAAUUCUGAAAAUGCAAGAUAUGAUCCAUUAAUAUGUUCGUAAUUAUUCUUUGUCUUUUGCUUUUCCUGUUAUCUUACGUCCUUGGGAUUUAUGAUUGCCAUGUUUUUGUUAUUUUUUAUUAAAUGUCUGUUGCUAUCACUAUGGAUGAAAUUUUAUAGUCGAAAAUUAACCAAGGAUUUGGUGGUGAAGGUUGGAUUCUCUUUUUAAGUUUUAAUCCAGCACUUCCAUAGUCAACAAAUUCAAAAUAUUAUACACAGGCCAUAAUAAUUUAAUAAAUAAUUAUUAUUUACGAUGAAAACAAAUUAACAGCCAAGUUAUUUUCGUGUUAUCAUUCAUUUUAUAAUACUCACAUAUCGCGUUGUAACAAUUUCGGUGUUACCAACAUGCCAUUGUAUCUAGAGUCUGGAUUGUGUCAAGAUUUGAGUUCAUUAAUAUGGGGGAGCUCUUGAUUAAACCUGAUAUUGAUACAAUUCUACUAAUUAAUACUCGAUAAACUGGUAGCCUCAAUUAAAUAAUAGUUUUUAUUGGUCCUGACUUAUGGUCAACGUGGUAAAUUAAUAAUUCGAUAAAUUUUUAAAAUAAUAAAUUUUACAAAAAAUUCAUAUUUCUCAUCGGACCCAGAUACUAUAUGAAAUAAUAAUGAUCUAGUUUGUACCUAAAUCCAUAUAAAAUGUCUAUGUAGUUCUCAUAAAAUAUGUUCUCAUGACCUAUUGCUAAUAUUGUACUUUUAAAAUAAUUGAUGUUAGUUGUAUUGUAAAAAUAAUCAGCUAUGAAGAAACUCAGUUAGACACUUGGUAAAAAUUUAUUUUAAAAACUACUAUGAGUUUUAAAAGAUGUUAUAUGGGUUUAGUAAAUCUUACUAUUAUACUGUUGUAAGAAUAUAAAUGACUAAAAUAUAUAUAAUGUUGAAUAAAAUUUAUUUUCACAUUUAUAUAUAUGUGUAUGAAUUUUUUUUUAUUGUAUAUAUAAUAAUUGAUAACUAAAAUGAAUAUUUUGUGUUUUUAAUUUUUUUUAUUAUCUCAAUAUAAUUGGUAAUAAUAAUAAUCUUUUUUAAAAUUAAUGAUUUUAUCUUCUAAUUAAUAAACAUAAUUUUGGAUUUUUAUGACAUAUAAAUAUAAGAGGAAAUAUAUGAAAUUAUAUUAAGUAUAAAAGUGAUUCUUAAAAUUAGAUUUGAAAAGUUACUCCUUACCUACUAAAAGUAAUCCCAAAUAGGCCCUCAGUAUUGUUUGUUUCUUCUUGAAAUUGAUUUUGACUUAGACCUCAUAUCUAACUUUUUGUAGUGCAAAAGAAAAUUUUAGUUGGUAUUGUCAUUAGCAACAAGAAAUUAUUUAUUGUUAGUACAACUUUGAGUGCUUAUUUAUAUGGGGAUGGAUUCUAUCGUAGAACUAUCUUUAACAUGAAAAAAUAAAAUCUCUACAAUAAUCCAUAUUACUGGUAUUGUGAGACAACUCUCUAAUAUUUAAAUAAAAUAUAAUAAAUAGAAAUUAAAGUAAAAUUAAUACUCUAAAUGUUUUAUCAUAUUUUAUAAAUAAAGAAUAUCUUCAUAAAUUAAUAAUUGAUCCACUUAUUGAAGUUUGACUGUAUUUUGGUAAUCGCAAAUGUCACAAAUACGAAACUUGUUAACCUAAAAUAUUGUGAUAUUGACUUUGGUUUACAACACCUAAUACGAGACAAACACGUAAAGCAAUAUUGAAAGAGAUUUUAUUUGACUAUUUGCUUAACAAUUACUAUAAAAGGAUAUUAAAUCUGAAUGAACGAAUUAAGAAGCAUAUCUUAAUCUAUGAUUGUAAUCUCGCUGAUUUCAAACUGAUCUUGAAUAACGAUUCAUGCUAGCUGACCGUGAUCGAUCUCGAGCCAAAUACAAUUAAUCUGUUUUAUAUAAAUAUUAUAGUUAUUGCCGACAAACUAUUAUUCCUAGCAAAUUAAAUGCAUACAUAUGUAUCGAGUCAAAGACUAAUACAUUAUCUUCAAUUAUCGUUUAAUUGGUUACAAAUUAUUGUCUCCAUGAGAUGUGGGGAGAUUUGCAAUUUUUUCUAUUGAAAUUAAUAUAUAUGAAACGACCCGCCCCGAAUUUUCAGGAUGAGUCUAUCUAAUCUCACGUAAUCGAAUUAAUAAUAAUUAUGAUAUCUAAGAAUUCUAUAAAAAAUUCGACAGAAUCUCCCCUAUAAAUAAAGAGUAAUGAUAUAGCCACAAACUCUUGUACAAACAUAUUUUGUACAAACUGAUGUGGCAUGAUAAGAUUGGUUGAAUUAAAUAUCACUUGGCCCACAUGAUUUGUUUUUAUUAAUUUAUAUUUUCAUUCAACCAAUGAGUUAAUGCCACGUCAGUUUGUACAAAAUAAGUUUGUACAAGAGUUUGUGGCUGUAUCAUUACUCAUAAAUAAAACAUCCUCAAACCUGCAAUUUACAAAACAAUAUUUCCAAAAUAAUUCAAUAUCUAUCCAUCUUUCAUAACCAACUUUUCAAGUCAACAUACCAAAUAUCACCCAAAUCAUUCUACUAUUAAAAUAUAAUGGUUAUCCUUAAUUACAAAAUAUAACAAAUAAAUACAAUUCACAAUAUCCUAAAUAUCAAAAUAUUAAAUCUACGACUCCUAGCACCAUCACGUGGCCACAAUUUCAAAUCUAACUAUCGUUGCUGGGUCGACUGAUGUACCUGCAAAUCUCCUAUGGGGGGAAAAAUAUAAUAAAAACGGGGUAAGUAUAAAACUCAGUGCGCUCAGUGAGUGGAUAGUAGUUUUUUAAAAAAUAAAUUUAUUUAAAGUGAUUUAAUCUUUCUCAAAUCAAUUUCAUCAAAAUAUCAUAAGAACUUAUAUAAACAUAUUCAAUUCAAAUCAUUCACUGAAAUAACUAUAUUACAUAAAUCUGCAUAAAAUUAAUGAAAUCAUAAUACUUAUAAUAUCAAAUACUGAAUAAUAAAAACUAUCAUCAAACAAGUACCCAGGGGAAUGAUCUCAUCAUAUCCGGACCUCGACGGACGGGCAAUGAAGGAAUCAUCAUGCCCCGGAGCUACAACGGAUAGAUGGGGAAAUCUCAUCUCAUAUCUCAUGUGUCUCAACAUUUGUAUCUCUGUAAUCAUUAUAUUGCAUGCAUAAGCCCCCAAAAGGCAAAAGCGCCCAAACACAUGGCCCAAAGCCUCUAUGUGUGUUCAGACGGGCCCGAAAGGCUGUUAGCCUAAAGGGCUAUACAUAAUGUAAUUUUGAUGAUAACAAACAUAUGUAUUAAAUGAUUUAAUAGAUAUUGUAUUUCACAUUUUCACUAGUUUUUGAAGGGUAAUAUUUAUGCAAGUGAAUCAAGUGAAAUCAAGCUCAAGACUAUGGCGAAAUCAAGAAUAAAGUUUAGAGCUCAACGGACAAAUUAGUGCGAUAAAUUCUUGUAAAGCCGGUAUGAUUUAAUUGAUGCAUGAUUUAGCAUUUGAGAAGCUCAAGAGAUUAAUUUAAUUAAUUACUUUUUAUAAACUAAAAGGUUUUAUUUUUAUAAGAUAAAGUACCUUGUGGUUUUGAGUAAUUUGGACUUAAAUGUAAAGUUUUGAAAUCUUUGAUUUUAAUAAGUAUUAUUAUUAAAUUUCAGAGUUGGACAUUUUUCCAAACAUUUGAAUUUUUUUGAACCAUACUAUAAUUUAUGAAUAUUUUGCACUAAAGUGAAAGGUUUUGAGAACUUUGAAAAAUAUGAGUAUUAUGUUGAAAAGGACCUUUUUGCGAAAGAAUAAUAUCUUUGGGGCCAUAUCAUAAUUUCAUAAAGUUUUGGAAAGACAACUAUUAUUAAGAAAUUCUGAAAUUAGAUCUAUUUGUAAAGUUUUAUGACAUUUCGGGCCGUAGUAUAAUUAUAAAAAGUUUUGGACUAAAGUGUAAUUUUAAUGAACAGUGUUACUGUAGUAAAAUUAAAAAAAUAACGGUAAUAUCACUGUUCAUGAGCGGCUAGCCGCGUAAAUCAAGGGGCUAACCGCUUAGGCGCUGGAAUUUGCCUAUAACAGCUAGUUUUCGGGCUUUAACUAUAAAAACUUAACUCCAACUUCAUUUUAAGAACUAAUACAAGCAUAAACAAUAUCAUAUAACAUAUAUUGAGCUUCCAUUUCGCAAAUAAUCAUUUAUUGAAUUAUCAUUGAGCUAUAAUUUGUUAUCUACUCUUAAAGAGAGUUUUAUUGUUGUGAUUUUCAUUUCUCAUCAAAUUGUGAGUGUACAAGUGUGAGAAACACUUGGGGUGAAGAGAUUGGGGAGAUAAUCUAUUGUUGUAAAGGUCAAUUGAUAUCUUGGAAGUCAAUUGUAAACAUUUGAAGCUUUGGGAGGCUUGGAUAGUGAAAUCCUCAAGCCGGGUGUGCUUGGAGGCGUGGACGUAGGCGGGGAUAGCCGAAUCAAGUAAAAAUCAUUGUGUUUGUUUUCUCUUCCCUUACUCUUUUAAUAUUAUGCUUGAUUGAAUUUAUUGUUUUUAAUUUGAUUAAGGCAAUAGAUUAAAUUGUUGUGCGAAUUGUAUUGCAUAAUUUUAAAAUCCCAAUUCACCCCCCCUCUUGGGUUACAUAACUUAUAUUUCAAAGGCCUCUAUCUCAUCUCAUCUGUAUCACUGUAUUCAUCUCAUAUAAUCUGUAUCUCUGUAUCUGAAGGGGAAGGGUAUUGUCCAAUGAUUUUCCAAACAACAUUUUAUACACAUGUACAUAAACAUAUAAUCACAUUUGAAAUCUCAUUUUCUUUUUAUUCAACAUAUCUCAAAAUCCACUCAAUUCUAAUAUCAUGCAUUUACUCAAAAACGAUAAUAAAAUCAUUAAUCAAACUCAUUCUUAAUAACAAUAAAUAUCAACACAGAUAAAAAUCAGUUUUCUAGAAAAUCAUUAAAUCGAAGCAUCAAAUACUUAUUUAUCAAAACAUACUGCAUUGUAUCAUAAAAUCAGCAUAUACUAUGAAAAUAAGUUUUGUAUAUUCCACUCACGGUGACGAAGUCCAGACUCGGUAUCAACAACGUCUGCGGGUUGAUUCUCGUUCGCGGAUCCUUCUAAUCAAGGAAACAACAUAAUCAUUCUCCGUAAAUUUGAAAUACAACUAAUUUUACAUAAUAAUUCUCGAAAAAAAUAUCUAUCAACAAUAAACUAUUCCCGCAUGCACAAAAUUACCAAAAUACCCCUACAUGUCAAAAUUACCAAAAUGCCCCAACAUCAUUAUUUUACCAAAUUAUUCUCAGAAUCUUCAAUUACUAAAUUGUCCUCAAUUCAGACCACGAAAUUACCAUAAUGUCAGAAAUUAUGAAAUUACCCUCAAAAUCUCAAAUUACCUCACUGCCCUAACCUAAAAUUACCAAAUUAUCCACUGAUUCAACAAAUUAUAAUUUCACCCUAAAGUUUUAUGAAUUUACCGAAUCGCCCUACUGUCAACGAUGACUGGACUUCAGUCAACGACGACGGGAAGCUUAGGUCUGAUAGUUCAGACCUCGGUGAGUCCAACGGUGCCGGCGGUGACCUCCCAUGCGCGACAAUGGCGGCGGAUCGUGCUCCCAAAGCCGCGAGGUUUCCAAGUGGCCGAUCGUCGACAAUCCGGCCGUUUCAGGUGACAAGGUUGGUCGGAAAAUAAUGCUGGUGACGUGAGGAGUAGAACCCAGCUGGAGGCGUGCCCAAAUGCCGGCGAAAUCGACGGCGAUGGCAAUGGGUUUUUGGCUGUGAAUUUUCGAGCUUCAAACGGCGGAAUAGCGAGGUGGCCGGAAUAGCGAGCUCCGUUCGGGUCAAGGUUACAGGUCGGGUCGGAUUCGCGGGUCAAACCGGAUCAAUUCUCUUUCCCUCUCUCUCUCUCACGUGCCCCUCUCUCUUUCCUUUUUUGGAAACCAGCUUCCCACUUUCCAUUUAUCGAAACUGGCUUCUUCUUUUUUUUUUUUUUUUGCACUUAAGCUGAAUACAAAUUAAGCUAAUACCGGACCCGUGACGAAAAUAAAAUCCGACUACCCGAGUUUUUUAAUCGCGCUCAAUUUAUCUUGAUUUAAUGUUGUGACAAUUUUAAAAUUAAUAUCAAAGAGGAAAAAUUAAAUCAUACACUUAAUUAGGAAAAAUCAAAGUGCAUAUGUUACAAUAUACCACUUACCUGCUAUUAUUUUCAUGAUCGUCAAUACCGGACAACAUAAUUUUAUGGUAUUUCCCUUAUGUUCAUAUACACUUUUAUUUUAUAUUUAUCAUAAAUUAAAUAACUCAUAUAAAUGGAAAUUAAAUAAAAAGUUUUAAGUAUUAAAAAUAAGAAAUAUAUGUUCAAUGUGAAUAAAAAUUAAUAAUAGGAUAUUUUUCUUAUACUUUUUUUAUUUUUUUCAUUUCUUCAUGCUAGAAGAAAUUAAAAAUCAAAAGUCUUCAUGCUAGAAUAAUUUUUUUCUUCUUUUUUUCCUUAAUAAAGUUGCAUGGAGAAAAAUGUGAUGGUUUUCUAGAAGCCAAUCAUUUUUUCAAAUUUGUUGAUUUUGACCAAGCCACCAACCUUGCUUUUUGAAAUUGGCAAACCCACCAACUUUGCCUUUUGAAUUUGGCAAGCCGACCAAAUAUGUUUCUUUGAAAUUGGCUUUGAAAUUGGCAAGCCAUUAUUUGACUUUUCAACACAAGAUACUGUAAUAGGAAAGACGAGAUGUUGGAAAUCAUUUUGCUAUGGCGUACAAACUACCAUAUUUGUUGCUUGUGACUUGUCCUUAUCAGCCCCCCUCAAGCUAGGCAGUCACAUGCGAUGAACGCUUAGCUUGGUUCGUAGCGUAAGAAAUUGAUGCUUCCCCAUAGGUUUUGCAAGAGUGUUUGCAAUCUGAAGAUGAGAAGGCACAUAUCGUGUAAAUAAUGACCAUUUAGCAACCUUUUCACGAACAAAAUGCACGUCAAGCUCAAUAUGUUUCACUCUAGCAUGAAACACUGUUUUCUUAGUCGUAUGGACUGCACUCAUAUUUUCAUAGAGAAUUGUGGGUGCUUUCGGAACACAUAACCGAAUGUCGUUAAGUAGAUAUGUGAGCCAUGUUAACUCGGCAGCGGCAGAGGCCAUGGACCUAUAUUCGGCUUCGACGCUUGAGCGAGAGACUGUGUUGUUUCUUCGAGCUCCAAGAGAUACAAUUGCUUCCAAGAUAAAUGCAGAAUCCUAUUGUACUUCGUCUUGUUAUCGGACAUCCAGCCCAAUCGGAAUCCGAAAAGGCAUAGAGCUUGAGAGAGCUUUGAGACAAAAAUCUAAGGCCAAAGUCAAGGGUACCUUUAAGGUAACGAAGGAUCCUUUUCACUUCUUUGAGAUUGGCUUUGUUGGCGCUUGGAAUUGUUGAUAGACUCGAUUGACAGCGAAUGUGAUAUCGGGCCUUGUGCAAGUGAGAUAUUGAAGGCUUCCAACAAGGCCUCUAUAUUCAGUAGCAUCCACAGGUUCGUCAUUAUCAAUCCUGCAUUCGUGCCUUGGAAAGAAGGUCUUUAGUGUACUUUGCUUGAGAUAGAAAGAUGCCAUGUGUGAAUUGUUGAACUUCAAUGCCUAGGAAGUAAUGUAGGUUGCCAAGAUCUUUUAAAGCAAACUUUGAGCUGAGAUUGUUGAUGAUUGAUUGAAUUUCCUUCUCAUUAUUUCCUGUAAUUAUCACAUCAUCAACAUAAAUUAAUCAAGUAUAAGAAUAGAUUUGUUAUUAAAUAUAAAUAAAGAGAUAUCAACUUUGCUACCAGAAAAUCCAAGAGAAAUUAAGGCUUGAGAAAGACACUCAAACCACACUCUAGGUGCCUAUUUUAGGCCAUAGAGCGAUUUUUGAAGUUUACAAACAUAUGAUGGAUGAUGUGAAUUACAAAACCCGGGAGGCUGCUCCAUGUAGACAGUCUCCUUUAAUAGUCCAUGAAGAAAAGCGUUGCGAACAUCCAGCUGCUUGAUAAGCCAUUUUGAGCUCACAUCAAUUGCGAGGAUAAGGCAAAUAUUUGUGGUCUUUAUAACGAGACUGAAGGUUUCAUUGAAGUCGACUCCAGGAACCUAUGUGACUCCCUUGGCAACUAAAACCGCUAGAUUCUCCUUGAAUUGCGUUGAAGGUAGCAUGAAGGUCUCCUUCAAAUGUGUAUAGCUUCCCUUGCUUACUCCCCUUUGCUAGAACCUUAUUUUCCUUGCUCUUCACAAUAAAACCAUCAGUGUUAAAUUCAAAAACACAUUUAAUAUCGUCAAUGAGUUGUCCAACUGAUAAGAGAUUAUUUUUCAAUUUUGGAACAACUAAAAUAUUAUUUAAAUGUAAAGAAUCGGGAUUUGUAUUUAAUGAAGCAGAACCAAUAUGUGAAAUAUUCAAAUCUUGACCGUUGCCUACAAUUAUUUUGUCAUUACCUCUAUACGGACUUACAUGAUCAAGAUUACCUAUGUUAUUUGUCAUGUGUGAUGUUGCUCCAGAAUCCUCACAGCACUAUUGAUCAUUAUUUUCUUGAAGAUUCAUGGCAGCUAAGGCCUGUGGAUCCUCUUCAUUGUUAUAGUCGUAUCUGUUCCAACAUUCAGCAGCACUAUGUUUGCGUUUAUGACAUAUUUUGCAAACAAUAACUUCUUCAUCUGAGGUACUGUUUUCUUUAUUUGGUUUUUGAGGCUGCUGUUGUGGUUAACGGUUGUUGCCAUUAUAAUUGUUGUAGUUGUUGGGGUAAUUUCUACCACCUGAGUUGCGUUGAGAUCUUCUGCCCUGGUAUGGAGGUCUUCCAUCGCUUUGAUUUCUGCCUCUUCCAUGUUGACCAAAGAAGGCUUGGUUUUGAUUUGUGCCAAGUCUAGCUUCUUCAUCUUUUUCUACGAUCACAGUAUGUUCAUGCUUUUGGAGAGCAUUGGUGAAUUGUUUAAGGCUGGGAUAUGGAGGUUUAUUGAGCAUUGUAGUUUUGAAGUCAGCAUAUUUGGGACCUAAGGCUCUUGCAAUUUGAAAAAUUUUCUCAUCAUCGUUCAUUGGUUUUCCAAUGGCUGCCAACUUGUCGCUUGUUUGAAAGUUAAGAUUUGCAACUGUAAAGUGUGUUUGGGAACUAAGAAAAUGAAAGGAAUACUCUGAAGUUUUAUUUCAUAUAAUUCUCGAUUACAAACCAAAGUAAAUCAAUAUUAGCUUAUAUACUAAAACUAGAAUAAGAGAGCUAAACUUAUUAAGUAAGCUUAACUACAAAACAGAAUGAAAAGCAUGCUACAACAAACUUGCUGAGCUGGCAAAGCUUCUUAACAGACUCUGCUGAUUUCUGCUUUGACUCACAUGUGCUGACUGAGCUGAUCCUUUGACUGCAGCAUGAGCUUCCUUAACAGCCCCCCUCAAACUCAAGGGGCAUGUUUGCACAUUGAGUUUGGCUCGAAAAUAAUUGAAAUGGAUAAAAGUGAGUGGCUUAGUCAAGAUGUCUGCAAUCUGUUCUUCACUGGGAAUGUAUCUGAUUUCCAGUUCUUUGGCUAAGACUUUAUCUCUAAUGAAGUGCAUGUCUAAUUCAAUAUGUUUUGUUCUUGAAUGAUAGACAGGAUUCUUAGCUAGUUCUAUUGCACUGACAUUAUCACACCAGAUCAUAGGAAGGGAGGAACAUUCAAUACCAAGUUCAUCAAACAGUGACUGAAUCCAUGAGAUUUCUGCACUUGCAGCUGCAAGGGCUCUGUACUCACUCUCUGCACUGGACCUAGCAACCACUGACUGUUUCUUGGAUGACCAAGAUAUCAAGUUACUUCCCAAAUAAAUGCAAUAAGCACCUGUUGAUUUCCUGUCAUCAAUGUCACAAGCCCAAUCUGCAUCAGUGUAACCUGAGAGCUUCAUUUCUCCUUCUGUGGAAAACUUUAAACCAAAAUCUUCAGUCUCCUUUAGAUAUCUAAGAACUCUUUUGCAUGCAAGGAUAUGUUGAAGUGUAGGUGCUGACACAUACUGACUUAGCUUGUGUACUGCAUAAGCUAUUUCUGGUCUUGUUAGGACUAAAUACUGCAACCCUCCAACAAGACUUCUGUAACCAGUAGGAUCUUCAACAUACUGACCCAAAUGACCCUUAGCUUCUUUCUGGAGCUUUACUCCUGUCACCAUUGGAGUGUCACACCCUUUACACUCUAACAUAUCAGCUUUACUCAACAGAUCCCUGAUAUAUUUUCUCUGAGACAGGUAAAUAUUAUCUGCAGCAUAAGAGACUUCUAUACCAAGAAAAUACGACAGUUUCCCCAAGUCUUUCAGAGCAAACACUUGACUGAAUUCCAAAAUAAAUUGCUCCAGCUCAGCACUAUUAGGACCUGUGAUCAGUAUAUCAUCAACAUAUAUCAAAACAAAAAUUAUUGAGCCCUGUUUUCCUUUACAGAACAAGGAUGUAUCAGCUCUUGAUUUUCUGAAUCCCCACUUGAUAACUAGACUAUCUCUCAACUUAUCAUACCAAGCUCUUGGAGCUUGUUUUAAGCCAUAUAAAGCCUUCUUAAGUUUGCAGACAUAGCUAGGCUUCUGCAGAUCAACAAACCCCUCAGGCUGACACAUAUAAACAUCUUCUGUCAACUCCCCAUUUAAGAAUGCAUUAUUUACAUCCACUUGCCUAAUUGUCCAUUUAUGCAUUGCAGCUAAACUCAACACAAUUCUCACUGUAGAAGAUUUCACAACAGGACUGAAUGUUUCAAAAUAAUCUACACCCUCUGUUUGUUGAAAACCUUUUGCAACUAACCGAGCUUUAUACUUAGCUAUGCUUCCAUCACUGUUUUGUUUGACUCUAAACACCCACUUAUUGCCUACAACUUUGUGUUCAGAUGAAGAUGGAACUAAUAACCAAGUCUCAUUCCUGAUUAGAGCCUCAUACUCAUCACUCAUGGCUUGAUGCCAGUUCUUAUCACUGAGAGCUUCUUGGACUGUAUCAGGUUCUUUAUUGACUAAAGCUGCUGUAUAUAAUUUUGGCUUGAAGAUACCAGAUUUGGAUCUGGUAAUCAUUUGGUGAAAAGGUUUCUGAGUCUGGUUUGUGUUUAAGGCAUCAGGGAUAGUAUUUGUGGCUCAAACUGNNNNNNNNNNNNNNNNNNNNNNNNNNNNNNNNNNNNNNNNNNNNNNNNNNNNNNNNNNNNNNNNNNNNNNNNNNNNNNNNNNNNNNNNNNNNNNNNNNNNNNNNNNNNNNNNNNNNNNNNNNNNNNNNNNNNNNNNNNNNNNNNNNNNNNNNNNNNNNNNNNNNNNNNNNNNNNNNNNNNNNNNNNNNNNNNNNNNNNNNNNNNNNNNNNNNNNNNNNNNNNNNNNNNNNNNNNNNNNNNNNNNNNNNNNNNNNNNNNNNNNNNNNNNNNNNNNNNNNNNNNNNNNNNNNNNNNNNNNNNNNNNNNNNNNNNNNNNNNNNNNNNNNNNNNNNNNNNNNNNNNNNNNNNNNNNNNNNNNNNNNNNNNNNNNNNNNNNNNNNNNNNNNNNNNNNNNNNNNNNNNNNNNNNNNNNNNNNNNNNNNNNNNNNNNNNNNNNNNNNNNNNNNNNNNNNNNNNNNNNNNNNNNNNNNNNNNNNNNNNNNNNNNNNNNNNNNNNNNNNNNNNNNNNNNNNNNNNNNNNNNNNNNNNNNNNNNNNNNNNNNNNNNNNNNNNNNNNNNNNNNNNNNNNNNNNNNNNNNNNNNNNNNNNNNNNNNNNNNNNNNNNNNNNNNNNNNNNNNNNNNNNNNNNNNNNNNNNNNNNNNNNNNNNNNNNNNNNNNNNNNNNNNNNNNNNNNNNNNNNNNNNNNNNNNNNNNNNNNNNNNNNNNNNNNNNNNNNNNNNNNNNNNNNNNNNNNNNNNNNNNNNNNNNNNNNNNNNNNNNNNNNNNNNNNNNNNNNNNNNNNNNNNNNNNNNNNNNNNNNNNNNNNNNNNNNNNNNNNNNNNNNNNNNNNNNNNNNNNNNNNNNNNNNNNNNNNNNNNNNNNNNNNNNNNNNNNNNNNNNNNNNNNNNNNNNNNNNNNNNNNNNNNNNNNNNNNNNNNNNNNNNNNNNNNNNNNNNNNNNNNNNNNNNNNNNNNNNNNNNNNNNNNNNNNNNNNNNNNNNNNNNNNNNNNNNNNNNNNNNNNNNNNNNNNNNNNNNNNNNNNNNNNNNNNNNNNNNNNNNNNNNNNNNNNNNNNNNNNNNNNNNNNNNNNNNNNNNNNNNNNNNNNNNNNNNNNNNNNNNNNNNNNNNNNNNNNNNNNNNNNNNNNNNNNNNNNNNNNNNNNNNNNNNNNNNNNNNNNNNNNNNNNNNNNNNNNNNNNNNNNNNNNNNNNNNNNNNNNNNNNNNNNNNNNNNNNNNNNNNNNNNNNNNNNNNNNNNNNNNNNNNNNNNNNNNNNNNNNNNNNNNNNNNNNNNNNNNNNNNNNNNNNNNNNNNNNNNNNNNNNNNNNNNNNNNNNNNNNNNNNNNNNNNNNNNNNNNNNNNNNNNNNNNNNNNNNNNNNNNNNNNNNNNNNNNNNNNNNNNNNNNNNNNNNNNNNNNNNNNNNNNNNNNNNNNNNNNNNNNNNNNNNNNNNNNNNNNNNNNNNNNNNNNNNNNNNNNNNNNNNNNNNNNNNNNNNNNNNNNNNNNNNNNNNNNNNNNNNNNNNNNNNNNNNNNNNNNNNNNNNNNNNNNAGGAAAUCAACUUAUGCUUGUUAAAUCCCUCAAAUAUGGAUAACAAAGGCAACCUUUACAUUUUAAGAAGCUGUAAUCUGGUUUGUGUUUAAAUAAUUUCUCAUAGGGAGACACAAACUUUAGCACAGGGGUAGGCAAUCUAUUUAUGUGAUAAACUGCAGUGUGAAUAGCAUCCCACCAAAACCUAAAGGGCAGAUCAGCUUGAGCUAAUAAUGUCAAUCCCAAUUCUACUAUAUGUCUAUGCUUUCUCUCAACCAAACCAUUCUGAUGGUGAGUAUAUGGACAUGAAUGUCGAAAUAUGAUCCCAUUUUGAUUCAAGAAAUCAGUGAACACUCUAUAUUCUCCCCCCCAGUCAGAUUGCAACAUCUUGACUUUAGCACUGAACUGGUUUUCUACUUGGAGUUUAAAAAGUUUAAAGACUGCAAAAGCAUCUGACUUAAGCUUGAGAGGGUAAAUCCAAGUGUAUCUACUGUAGUCAUCCACAAAACUGAUAUAAUAUUUGUACCCAUUCCUAGAAACAGUAGGUGAAGGCCCCCAAAUGUCAGUAUAUACCAGUUCCAGAACUUGUGUACUUAAAUUUUCUCAUCAUCGUUCAUUGGUUUUCCAAUGGCUGCCAACUUGUCGCUGAGGCCCUUGAAUUUCUUAAGAAAUUCAUCAAGCUUGGAAGAUCCUUUCUUUAGAGAAUAAAGGCUAUCUUUUAGCCAUGUUUCUUACUCCUUAGUUGCAGGCAGCAUGAUCUCUUCAACAGUGAGCCAGAUUUCUUGGGCUGUCUGCAAGCCGAUAACCAUGCUCAACACGUCUUCAUUCAUCAUACUUCUAAGCCAAGUUAUGAGAAGUCCAUCAUUAUUUUUCCACAUGAGAAAAUCUAGAUUAUUUAUCUCCUUCCCCUCUUGCUCUAUCAUCUUCCGUGGAGUCUUAACAUCAACUAUAUGGUGAUUUAGCCCAAGGGUAAAUAUAAGUGGUUGAACCUGAGAACUCCAAAGAAGAUAAUUUUCGGUGUUGAGUUUGAUUGGAACAAAACUCGAACACUGAUGGAAAGAUUGAAGGGAUAGGGAUGGUUAUGAAUUUGAACUUGAAGCCAUGAGGCUCUGAUACCAUAAAAAUAAUUGAGAUGCUUAAAUAUGGUGAAAAUAGUAAUUGUUUUUGUCUCUUAAUUCAAUUGCUUGAAGUUUACAAAUAUAUAAAGACGUUUAAGAUGCUGUAAAAGGAAGGACAAUAUUUAUAAUAAUUAUAAUAAUCAACUAGCCGUUGUGAUGAAUCCACCAUGACAUAUGCUGCUAUAUUUUGCAUUCAUUAUGGCUUAGACGAGAUGUUGGAAUUCCUUUUGCUAUGGCUGUACAAACUACGAUAUUUGUGCUUGUGACUUGUCCUUAUCAAUCGCUACAGUAAGUUGUAAAUUAAUAUAUACAAUAUAGUCUUUGACCCGACAUAUAUAUUCCCUUGAUUUGCGGACAAUAAAAGUUUUAAGUUAUUCUAGUAUUACGUGUCGUAAUAUAUAUGUAUAUUGGAAAAUUUUCCAAUUCACGGUCUUAAAGUGUGGAAAAGUCUAAGAAAUAUUUAAAAUUGUGUAGUUUUAAAGUUUAAUUUCAUAAUGUUAUUAAACCUAAUGGUUUUAAAACUUUCCUGAAUUUUCAAAUACUUUAAAAUUUCAAACAAAAAAACUACUACAUACAUACAUACAUACAUACAUAUAUGUAUACACACACACAUAUAUAUAUGUCUAUAUAUAUGUAUGGAUGUAUGCAUAUAUAUAUAUAUAUAUAUAUAUAUAUAUAUGCAGGGAAAGGAUUAGUGGCUCCUUAAAAUUACACUUAUUCUUAACACUAUUUUUUGACCUUGGAAUAGGAUUGGAUGUAACUAAUUAUAUUGACUAUAUUUAUAAGUAAUUGAUAAUAUAUAUUUUUUGGCUUUGAUUUUCUCCCUCCAGUUUACUCGUUCCUUAAUUCAAUUUCUUUAAUCUCUCUGUCAUCUUCUUCACGGUUUCACAGUAUAACAAAAGCUUGUUGCAAAGAAAAUAGAAAACUGCAGAUUGCUUCAAAAAGCGAUAGUUUUUAUGCUUCUUUUUUGAAAAAAAAAUAUUUAUUUUCAAUCUCUAUUAUUAUAAAAUUAAACACAGUGAAACUUUAGAAGAAAAAGCUUCGUUUCAUAUGCUGGCUUGUAAAUAGUAAAUCACAAAUAUUAUGCACGCUUAAGUAGCCAUUACUGAUCUAUAAUUUUAGUUGUUUGUGGAACUGUGGAUCAAUUAAUAUUGGCUUAAAUAAAAAUCAAUGAUUUUUGUUGAAAAAGUAUUUUCCCAUUAGUACACUUGAAGAUCGAUCAUUGCAUAUGUCUUUCAAUAAAACAAGAAGUUCUUCAACUUCAAGUUAGCUGAUUUUACUAGAAUUCUAUUACUAACGCAUGAAAAUAUUGUCAAUAGUUUGGAAGUGAAACAAUUAAUGAGAAGAUGAAACAAAACACAAAGCAAGAUAUAAGUUAAAGAAUAAAAAAAAAAAAAACUAUGGAUCGAAAGGGAAAAUUCUAUAAUUCUGUAAUGAAGAUUAUAGCAUCAAUACUGUGAUAAACAUAAAUAUUGUAAAUUACGCAUAGAACUACUAAAUUUAAAGUAAAACCAGUAAAUUCAUACAAGAUUAUUGAUUAUUUAAAAAAUUAUCACUAUUUCUACAUAAUUCUAGUGAAAAAUAUUUUAUUUAUUUACAAAAAUAUUUUCAUUUAAUUAAACACAGAAAAAAAAACUCAUUAAUUAAACAAAGAAAUUGUACUAAAAAAAGUAGAAUAAGUUUAUUAAAUUGGUUUAACCAUAAAAUUCUAUAUUUGUUCUAGGACAUUUGUAUACUUUUUUUUCUCAUUUUCUAUAAUAAUAUAUAUUUAUGACACAUGUUACUUAAGCGCAAUUAUUUAUUUUGAUGUGGAUCAAGCAAAAAAAUAAUUAAAAAAUAUUCUUAUAUUACUAGACACAUAUAUGAUAUAUCAAUAAAAUUAGAUAUAAUUUUGAGUAUUAUGCAUACUUCAUGUGGUUUUAAACUUUUUGUUUGUGCUUAGAGACCAUUUAGGAUUGUUCUUGAGGAAGUGUAGAAAGAAGCAAAAUAAACUCAUCUUACAACAACUAUGAAAGAUAUUAAAAUAAUAUUUUUUUCAAAAUCCGAUUUUGAGAAUAAAUUUGAUCUUUAAUAAAACAUCACAUGUAUUACACAAAUGCAAAGCUAGCAUUAUUCAAUUAAAAAAAAUCAAUAAAUAUAUAAGUUAAUAAACAUCUCGUGCCUCGUAAUUUUUAACUACCAAAGACACCUCAAAAUGUUGUCGUUUUAUUCUGCUGAGUUUGAUUCACCAAUAACCUUCACAAUCCAGAAGAACAAGAAAAACAAGUGCUUUUAAUAUAUUUAAUGAUGAUUCAAGGAAGAUUGUUGGUGAUUCUAUCAUUAGACAGGUGGCCAAGGAGAAGACUGUUGGAGGCUUAUGGGAAAAUUUGAAAGUCUUUCCAUGACUAAACCUUGGCAAAUAGACUCUACAUCAAAAAAAGGAUGUUUACUCCAAGAAUGGUUGAGGGGCUUAUCUCCUGAACAACACAUAGUUGAAUUCAAUUAGGUAUAUUAUACCUUGGAAAUAAUUGAUGAAGGAUUAGAUGAUGAGGGUAAAGCUCUUCUUUUAGUUAGUUCCUUGCCUAAGUCAUAUGAAAACUUUGUUAAUGCUUUGAUGUAUGGAAGACAAACCUUGACUCUUGAUGAAGUUAAGGUUGCUCUUAAGUUAAGGUUUCUCUUAACACUAGGGAGUUACAAGGAAAAAAAAUGUUAUAGAGAACGGUACUAGUGAGGGGUUGACACUAAGGGGUUGAUAUGAUAAUAAUGAUGAAAAACAAAAGAAAUAAGGGAAACAUAAGAACAAAUCUAGGGCCUAGAAGUGCUUUCAAUGUUAGAAGAAAGGCUAUUUCAAGAAAGAUUGUCCUGGGAGGAAGAAUAAGCCUAAACAUUUAAAGAAUCAAAGUGGUGAUACAAUUAUAGUGGAAGAGGAAGUAUAUGAGUCAGUAAGUGUAUGUAUAGCAACAAAUAACAACGAAAAAGGUAAAUGGAUCUUGGAUUUAGGAUGCACCAUUCAUAUGAGUCCUUUCAUUGAUUGCUUUAUAGAGUAGCGUGUUCGCAUUAAAAAAAAAUGAGAGCAACCACAUCUCAGAAAGACUGCAUAGACAUGCACUCACACACAUAAUAAUAAUAAUAAUAAUAAUAAUAAUUCUCUGGUGAGGAUAUCCUCAUUUUAACAAAGUGAGAAUAUUAUUAACAGACAAUAAAACACAAUUUCCAAUGUAAUAAAAUUUAUAAUUUUUUUU
rnacentral:lncRNA from 1 species